rnacentral:rRNA from 1 species
UACGUAGGGGGCAAGCGUUGUCCGGAUUUACUGGGCGUAAAGCGUGCGUAGGCGGUUCGUUAAGUCUGUUGUGAAAGCCCCGGGCUCAACCUGGGAAUGGCAAUGGAUACUGGCGAGCUAGAGUGUGUCAGAGGAUGGUGGAAUUCCCGGUGUAGCGGUGAAAUGCGCAGAUAUCAGGAGGAACACCGGUGGCGAAGGCGGGUCUCUGGGCCGAUACUGACGCUGAGGAGCGAAAGCGUGGGGAGCGAACAGG